GACCGGUUAGUUAAGUAGUAUAAUCCUUAGCUACAAAAGAUAUAGUUACUAGGUAUACUAAGUUAGAGAGUCCCUACUCUAGGAUAGUAUAGCUAGAAGAGUAGGGACUCUCUAAGGCGCUAUAAUCGAUAGGGUCUAAGAGGUCGUAGGUUCGAAUCCUCUACCGGUCG
rnacentral:tRNA from 1 species